AACGAACGCUGGCGGCAUGCCUAACACAUGCAAGUCGAACGAAACCUUCGGGUCUAUUGUCGCACGGGUGCGUAACGCGUGGGAACCUGCCCUUAGGUUCGGAAUAACUCCCCGAAAGGGGUGCUAAUACCGGAUAAUAGCUUCUGACCAAAGAUUUAUCGCCUUUGGAUGGGCCCGCGUUGGAUUAGCUAGUUGGUAGGGUAAAAGCCUACCAAGGCGACGAUCCAUAGCUGGUCUGAGAGGAUGAUCAGCCACACUGGGACUGAGACACGGCCCAGACUCCUACGGGAGGCAGCAGUGGGGAAUAUUGGACAAUGGGCGAAAGCCUGAUGCAGCAAUGCCGCGUGAGUGAUGAAGGCCUUAGGGUUGUAAAGCUCUUUUAACCGGGAUGAUAAUGACAGUACCGGGAGAAUAAGCUCCGGCUAACUCCGUG
rnacentral:rRNA from 1 species